rnacentral:rRNA from 1 species
GUAGUCUCGCACAGAUGCAUAUCAAUAAGCGGAGGAAAAGAAACUAACAAGGAUUCCCUCAGUAACGGCGAGUGAAGCGGGAAGAGCUCAAAUUUGAAAUCUUGAAAGGUCACCUUUCACGAAUUGUAGUUUAAAGAAGUGUUUUCUGUUACGAUCGUAAUAUAAGUUCUUUGGAAUAGGACAUCACAGAGGGUGAGAAUCCCGUCUAUGAUUGCGAUUUGUAGCUUUGUGAUACACUUUCAAAGAGUCGGGUUGUUUGGGAAUGCAGCCCAAAACGGGAGGUAAAUUUCUUCUAAGGCUAAAUAUUGGCGAGAGACCGAUAGCGAACAAGUACCGUGAGGGAAAGAUGAAAAGAACUUUGAAAAGAGAGUUAAAUAGUACGUGAAAUUGUCAAAAGGGAAGCGUUUAACACCAGUGUUGUUUUCUGAAAAUCAACCUCUGUUAGCUUUAUGCAUGUUUGUUUAGACCUAAUCAGCUAUCUUGCAUGUUCUAUUGUUUGCAGUGGUGCACUUUUCAGUUUACAGGUCAACAUCAGUUUUUUUUACCGUAAAAAAGUUAAAGAAAGGUAGCUAUCAUGGCUCCGGUCGUGAGUGUUAUAGUCUUUUUCCUAUGCGGUAGGAGAGACUGAGGUCUGCAGUGUAGGCUAUUUGGCUAGAUACUCAGGUGCUAUGUGAUACCAUUUCAUAAACAACUUGUUGAUUAUGUUUUGUCUAUUGCAUACUCGCUUGUACUAUCAUACCUACGCUUAGGAUGUUGAAGAUGUAGCACAUCAU